rnacentral:rRNA from 1 species
GUUCCUACGGGAGGCAGCAGUGGGGAAUAUUGGACAAUGGGGGAAACCCUUAUCCGGCGACGCCGCGUGAGGGAAGAAGGUUUUCGGAUUGUAAACCUCUGUCAGUGGGGACGAUAAUGACGGUACCUGAGUAAGAAGCCCCGGCUAACUACGUGCCAGCAGCCGCGGUAAUACGUAGGGGGCAAGCGUUAUCCGGAUUUACUGGGUGUAAAGGGAGCGUAGACGGUGAGACAAGUCUGAAGUGAAAGCCCGGGGCUCAACCCCGGGACUGCUUUGGAAACUGCCUGACUGGAGUGCUGGAGAGG